AAAGGAAUAGACGGGGGCCCGCACAAGCAGCGGAGCAUGUGGUUUAAUUCGAAGCAACGCGAAAAACCUUACCAAGACUUGACAUCGCAUGACAGCUAUGGAAACAUAGUCUCUCUUCGGAGCAUGUAGACAGGUGGUGCAUGGUUGUCGCCAGCUCGUGUCGUGAGAUGUUGGGUUAAGUCCCGCAACGAGCGCAACCCUCAUAAUCAGUUGCCAAUAUUUAGUUAGGAACUCUGAUUAGACUGCCGUGGAUAACACGGAGGAAGGUGGGGAUGACGUCAAAUCAUCAUGCCCCUUAUGUCUUGGGCUACACACGUGCUACAAUGGCUAUCACAAAGAGCUGCGACCCCGCAAGGGUGAGCGAAUCUCAAAAAAAUAGUCUCAGUUCAGAUUGUGGGCUGCAACCCGCCCACAUGAAGAAGGAGUUGCUAGUAAUCCCGAAUCAGCAUGUCGGGGUGAAUGCGUUCCCGGGCCUUGUACACACCGCCCGU
rnacentral:rRNA from 1 species